ensembl:snoRNA U8 U8 small nucleolar RNA
UCAUCAGGCAAGAUUAUCCUUACCUGUUCCUCUAUUCAGAGGGCAGAUACAACAAGAUGAUUGGAUUUUUGAAAGAUACGUAAUUAAUAUUUCAGCGCAAUUAGGGAUUCAACACCUUAAUUGCUCCUGUCUGCU